CCCUGCUUAGCAGACUGAUUCUCUGCUCUUUACACUUGAUGUAAAGAAAUGUACACCAACUGCAUCUAUUUAGGAUUCAAAUGUCCAGGAGGUGAUAUUUUCCUUCUCUUCAGGUCUAAGUCAGCAAAGGCCUGAUCUGGUAGUCAGAGAACAAGGUUUGGUCUACAAUUAUUCAGAUGGUAGGGCAUCUACAUUGAUAAAAACGAUCCUGGAAUGGGUGGUCAAUGCAGAACACAUGCAGAAUUCAUAUCACACACAGAGUGAGGCGGGGAGACAUGUCGAACAUAUUGCAAAGUUUUCCCAUUAUCCAAAGGAAUCAGAUACAGCAGUCAGUGCACAUUAACACAUAGCUCCCAGACAUGACAGCUGCAGAACCCUGAGGACCUCGUGACGGAAAGAAUUGACCUCGUGUCAUCUAGGAACAGAGGGAAGGCAGCACGAACACGAGAGGCCAACACCUGGCUUCUAUUUCUAACUCUGCCGCAGACACUCUGGCAAUUUUUCCAGAAACCCUGUUUCCAGCAAUCCUGUUCCCUAGAAGGUCACCAUAUACAUUGUUUUCACCUCUCUUCUUCGCUCCUGCCUUUCCUGGGCUCAAGACUGCAAGCAGAACUAAAAUGUCACAGUUGCCACACUUAAAUUUGCUAAGAGAAUAGAUCUCAAAUGUUCUCAUCAGUAACAAAAAGAUAACUAUGUGAGGUGAUGGAUAUGUUAAUUGGCUUGAUUGAUUUCACAAUAUAUA
rnacentral:lncRNA from 1 species